rnacentral:rRNA from 1 species
AUUGAACGCUGGCGGCAUGCCUUACACAUGCAAGUCGAACGGCAGCACGGACUUCGGUCUGGUGGCGAGUGGCGAACGGGUGAGUAAUAUAUCGGAACAUACCUUGUAGUGGGGGAUAACUAUCCGAAAGGAUAGCUAAUACCGCAUACGCUCUAAGGAGGAAAGUGGGGGAUCGCAAGACCUCAUGCUAUAAGAGUGGCCGAUAUCUGAUUAGCUAGUUGGUGAGGUAAAGGCUCACCAAGGCGGCGAUCAGUAGCUGGUCUGAGAGGACGACCAGCCACACUGGAACUGAGACACGGUCCAGACUCCUACGGGAGGCAGCAGUGGGGAAUUUUGGACAAUGGGGGCAACCCUGAUCCAGCAAUGCCGCGUGAGUGAAGAAGGCCUUCGGGUUGUAAAGCUCUUUUGUCAGGGAAGAAACGGUUGUGGCUAAUAUCCAUGGCUAAUGACGGUACCUGAAGAAUAAGCACCGGCUAACUACUUGCCAGCCGCCGCCGUAACAC